rnacentral:rRNA from 1 species
AUACGGAGGAUCCGAGCGUUAUCCGGAUUUAUUGGGUUUAAAGGGAGCGUAGGCGGACGCUUAAGUCAGUUGUGAAAGUUUGCGGCUCAACCGUAAAAUUGCAGUUGAUACUGGGUGUCUUGAGUACAGUAGGGGCAGGCGGAAUUCGUGGUGUAGCGGUGAAAUGCUUAGAUAUCACGAAGAACUCCGAUUGCGAAGGCAGCCUGCUGGACUGUAACUGACGCUGAUGCUCGAAAGUGUGGGUAUCAAACAGGAUUAGAUACCCUGGUAGUCCACACAGUAAACGAUGAAUACUCGCUGUUUGCGAUAUACAGUAAGCGGCCAAGCGAAAGCGUUAAGUAUUCCACCUGGGGAGUACGCCGGCAACGGUGAAACUCAAAGGAAUUGACGGGG